GACAGAGGGUGCAAACGUUGUUCGGAAUUACUGGGCGUAAAGCGCGUGUAGGCGGCCAUGCAAGUCGGAUGUGAAAGCCCUCGGCUCAACCGGGGAAGUGCACUCGAAACUGCAAGGCUAGAGUCUCGGAGAGGAUCGUGGAAUUCUCGGUGUAGAGGUGAAAUUCGUAGAUAUCGGGAGGAACACCGGUGGCGAAGGCGGCCCCCUGGUUGGAUACUGACGCUGAGACGCGAAAGCGUGGGGAGCAAACAGG
rnacentral:rRNA from 1 species